ensembl:lncRNA
CUGUGGUCACUAUUCAAUUAAUACAUUAAAUAUAUGCACUGCCUUCAGAAAGUAUUCACACCCAAAUGUUUCCUCUAAGCGGCACGUGGCCCUGCUCCCACGUGACUGGCUCAGAAAAAAUCAGCCUGUGCAGAUGUAACCGGUGUGAAAUGGCUAGCUAGUUAGCAGGGUACACGCUAAUAGCGUUUCAAUCGGUGAUGUCACUCGCUCGGAGACCUUGAAGUAGCUCCGCCGUGGCUGUUGUGGAGCGAUGGGUAACGGUGCUUUGAGGGCGACUGUUGUCGAUGUGUGCAGAGGGUCCCUGGUUCAAGCCCAGCGAGGAGAGGGACAGAAGCAACACUGUUACAUUGGUGCAGUGACCCAGGUCACUGGUUGCUGCAGAAAAGGAGGAGAUCAAAGGGGGACUCGGAAGAGGCGAAGGUCGAGAGCCAAUGUGUCCUCCGAAAAACACAACUCUGCCAAGCUGCACUGCUUCCAAGCUGCACUGCUUCAGGAAGCCAGCCGGCACCAAUGUCUCGGAGGAAACGCCGUCCAGCUGGCAACCGAGGUCAGCUUGCAGUUCCCUGGCCCACCAAAAGGAUUCGCUAGAGCAAAAGGAAAUCCCGGCAGACCAAACCCUCCCCUAACCCAGACGAUGCUGGGCCAAUUGUGCACCGCUUCAUGGGUCUCCCAGUCAAGGCUGUGACACAGUCUAGGAUCGCACUCGGGUCUGUAGUGACACCUCUAGCACUGCAAUGCAUUGCCUUAGACGGCUGCACCACUCAGGAGGCUAUUUUGUCCUAAUUAUAAAUGCCAGUGGAAACGGGGAUUACAGCUUUCAGAUCUUGGGGUGAGUCAACAAGGACAGGAUCAAAAACAUGGAUUAUUAUUGAAAUAGAAUGGAACCACUCAUGUCCAUAACACAAACUAUUACCUAGCAGUGACAGCAAGUCCUGAAACCAACUUUCCCUCCAACCAAUCUACAUCAGAGAGAAUUUCAGAAAUUGACGUAUUAUGGAAUGACUGAAUGAAAGGACUGCUUAAAGAAAUAAGUAAAUAUCAAUUUAGCUUGAGUUUAGUUCUCAAGAGUAAGAACACAGUUGUGUAUGCUUAGAAAUGUUUCAUGCACAUUGAAUUG